AACGAACGCUGGCGGCAUGCCUAACACAUGCAAGUCGAACGAGACCUUCGGGUCGAGUGGCGCACGGGUGCGUAACGCGUGGGAACCUGCCCUUAGGUUCGGAAUAACUCCCCGAAAGGGGUGCUAAUACCGGAUAAUGUCUUCGGACCAAAGAUUUAUCGCCUUUGGAUGGGCCCGCGUUGGAUUAGCUAGUUGGUAGGGUAAAAGCCUACCAAGGCGACGAUCCAUAGCUGGUCUGAGAGGAUGAUCAGCCACACUGGGACUGAGACACGGUCGAGACUCCUACGGGAGGCAGCAGUGGGGAAUAUUGGACAAUGGGCGAAAGCCUGAUCCAGCAAUGCCGCGUGAGUGAUGAAGGCCUUAGGGUUGUAAAGCUCUUUUACCCGGGAUGAUAAUGACAGUACCGUGAGAAUAAGCUCCGGCUAACUCCGUG
rnacentral:rRNA from 1 species